GAUGAGAGAGCCUUUGCCAAAUUUAAUUUCUCUGAUAUACCGUUACUCACUCAUUCUUCCUUUUAACCUUUUUAUCUUGUCAUUUUCAAUUUCCAUAUUAAAAUUGUUAAUUUUCAUGGAAUGUGUUAGUCUACUAAAUUAAUUUUUGUUUUGUAAGGAUUAACAAAUUUGAGUCAAGAAAAUUGAAAGGAUUGCUUAUAUAUAGGCAUGAUCUAGUGGGCAUAAUCACACGAAGGAGAGGUUGUAAAGAGCUUUCCCGGGUUCAUAUGGUUUCGAGAUGAGUCAGAUUUUAUAGUCCGUUGACCCGAGAACUAAUUAGGGAGAAAAUUCCCUGCGAGGUGGCUUGGAGUUCAUGGUGUUCGUCGAACCGGAUUAUCCGAGUUAUACUUGGAGUUCAUGGUGUUUGUCGAACCGGAUUAUCCGAGUUAUAAAUAAAUAAAUAAUAAAAAUUGAUAUGAUUGUUUGUGGCAUCUAAGUUUGGAGUAUAUGAAGAAAUUAAAUAAUUUUGCAGAGGAAAAGAGUACUUUGUUGGAUGAGUAUAUAUAAGGACUGAUAGAUUUUUGAUUCGAAAAUUAAAUUGUAAGACAAUAAAAGGGACCACUCAUGAAGGAGGG
rnacentral:lncRNA from 1 species